AUGCGCACGGGGCGUACGGGGGCCGGACGGGGGCGUGCGUGCGCCAUGGCGGCUCGUUUUAUGGCUGGAAAACCCUCACCCAGCGCCCGUUUGCCCCCGCUUUGGCAGCCCGCAGCCCGCGGUGGGCUGCACUGGACCCGGCUGCUGCCAAGGGCGUCCCAUCCGCUCCCACCGGACCAUGCCACACCCCUCCGAAGACAAAUAAAUAAUUGCUGGGGCAAUUUCUCGGCAUCCUCAAUCAACACGGUUGCCCGAGGAUGAGCAGCACCACAUCCCGGAGACGCGCUGUGAUGCUGCGGAGCAUCUGGGAAGUUUAUAAAGCUCAAAUUUACAGGGAAAAGGAGUCAAAACUGCCCUUCCUCCCAUUGUCCUCAGCCCGACAGCUCUGAAAAAGGAGGCAAAAUGGUCCAUUUGGGUCUACAGGAGGAAAAAUGGUCAGUUUGGGUCUUUGGGGUUUGUGACUUUGGGUACACGGGACCAGGCUGGGCUACAGGAUGAGCCCGGACGUGGGUCUUCCGGGCCUGCACUUCCCCCGGGUAACGUGGGGGACGAAUAAUGCAGAGCUGCGUCCCAAACCGGCCAGCUGACAUUUAUAAACCCGGCAGCGCUGCGAAUCAACAACAUCCCGUGCAAACUGUCGUUUUUCUGCCGCUAUAAACGUGAGAUCUCAGUGGAAAACUGAAUUCCUUUCCCUCUUAAUCUCCAGCUGCUUAACCAAAACCAUAAAAAUAACGUUUAUUGCAAGAAAAUAUUCCCAAUAACCUUGCAUGCUCCAGAGACAGAUGCCUCCCGAGCGCCAGGGCCUUGUUUUGUAUCUGCUCUCCUCGCUGCCAACUUCUGCUGCUGGUGGAAACUUUAUGGAUCAUUUAUUCUCUCCUUCCCAGGAGCAAAAUGCCAGCGUGAUGGAGGUUUCCUGGCUCGCUGUUCACAACGAUGCUAAUUGCCUGCCCGUAAUUGUCAGUGAUGGAUGGCUGUGCAUCUCCGAUUGCUCCCGAGCCGAGCGGGGGGAUAGCCGGGGACCGGCUCUCUGCAGGCUGGAGCGAAGGUGCUGGGCACUGGCCCUUAGGACCCUAUGGGGCAGGAGGUAGAAGGGUCAGGAUCAGGGUGCUGCCCAAAACCACCGGCGCGGACGGACUCUGCAAAGUGCGCAGGUAGAGGAGAGCCCGCACCGAGCCCCGAGGCACAGGCUGCAGGCUGAGCUCAACCCCGUAUUAGACACCGGACAAUCCCCAGGGACGGAGCCGCCAGCGCGCUCAUCCCACCAGCCGGAUUUUGCAACGACUUCCCGGGAAGCCUCCGCUGCCCGGAGGAUGAAUCGAGUGCGUGAGUCACCCCCGAGAAAGCCGGAGGCUCCCGCGCUUGUGCUGGGGGUGGGUCGCUCCCAGGGAGGCGCGCAGGGACCCAGGCGUCCGAGGUGGUCCCGCGCUCCGGGCUCCAACGGAGGGGGCGGCUGCGAGCGCGCGGUCGCUGCCGAGCGUCUCCCAGCAGCGCUCGCCUGCCCACGCACCCAGCCCUAUUACCCCCAUCAGCUCCCAGCUGCAAAGUGGUUCCCAUUAGUUGCGUUUUCGGAGGCGUCGCUUUUUCCCAUUUUGUUUUGUGCCGAAAGUGAUGUUUUCCCGGGCGCUGAGCCCCAUCCCCGUGGCCGGGGCUGGACCAAGCCUCAGGAAGAGCAUCCGAGGAGGAUUUUCCCCUUCUCCCCUCUUUUCCUCCCCGCUCUAGACACCUCGUUGCUGCUGUCCCAGGAUGCAACACCCCCAGUUGAAUUUGCUUUUUUUCAGGGAGCUGAUGCAGGUCCCAGCACAGCCCCCCGACGCAGCAGCGCUGGCGGAGCAGGGGGGCAGCGUGCUGUCGCAUCACGCUGGGAAUAACCCUGCUGUCACCUUUCUCUGGCCCGGCAGCGCUCCUCUUAAUGCAAAUGGCUUCAACUUUAGGGACUUUUACAGCCAGAGUCCUGGAAGGGCAAACUGAAUCAUGGCAAGGUUAAAUGACUUGGCUGGGGCCGAACCGGAAGCCUGUGGCAGAGGAGGGCUUUGAUUCCUCCCUCUCGCAGAGCCGUGCACCAGCUGCUGAGCCAUCAUUUCUCCCCAUUAGCCCUGGUGUUUCCCAGUAAAGACUGAGCAAGAUGAGAGCUGAAACUCUUUAAUGUCGUCAGCCUGCAAGAAAGUGUUGUUUCGGGGUAAACAAGCAAGCAAAGCCAGGCGCACAAGCUCCGCGCCAGCCUGCAAAGUGCCUGGACGCGGAGGGGCCUGUUGGCUGAGCGUUUAGUAGCGUUAACUCUGCUCGCCCACGCUACGAGCAAUUGCCGUUCGCGUCGCACCCGUUGCACCAAUGCAAGAUUUCGGACCCCGCGUGUCUCUGCGCGUCCUUUCGGCCCGACGCGGGAGGGUUUUUGCAGCCUGGUUGCACGGCUCUUUGCACGGCUCUCCCCGCAGCGGGGCUCGCUCUUCCCCGCGGACGCAGAGGGGAUUUGGUGAUGCUCUUAACACGUAGUUAUCCCGCAGCCCCAGAGCGACGGGGCGCGUGAGCAAGUGGAUCGAGGCAGGAAGGUGCACGGCUGAUGAGAGCUGGCGGACAACGACCUGCACGAGAUCCAGCCCUGUGUUUCUGUGUGUGAGCACGGCAGAGGCUGCGACAGAGCAGCCUGGGUUCAAGGGAAGAGCCAGAUAACAGCUAUAAGCCACCACAGGCCACAACGAGGGUGCAGAUUAAAACUCUCAUUGGCGUAAAACCUUCCUCAUAGCUCCGGGCACAAACUGGUCCACACACACAAGAAGAGCGGGGUUUGGCAGCAGAGCUGUCUUUCGUUGGGUUGAGGAGCGCAUUGCACCACUACAGACGAGUCGAGGUCAGUGGAUAAUCUGCUGCGUUAAGGUUUAAGACACAGGUUAACCUUGCAAACGGCUGCGGUGGUUUAAAAUGCCGGUCCCACCCACCCUGUGCGAGGCAGCGCUCCCGCGGCAAGGUGACGGGACGGGGCACGUGCAGCUGCUCCAGCCCCAAGUCCCCCCGCUGCUGCGGGAGCGCCUGCCCGUGGCCUCCCCACUCCCCGCAAAAGUUCUGUGCUGCCGAAUUGUCUCUAAAGACCUCCCAUUUCCUCCCAGAUGUUUUUUUUUCUCUGAUUGGCCUCAUUAAAUCAAUUUAAAAACGUUUAGCAAAACGUUCUCCCCGGGCAAAUUAAAGCAGUUGAACGCGCUGA